GGAGAGGUGGACGGAACUGCUCGAGUAGAGGUGAAAUUCGUAGAUAUGUGCAGGAAUGCCGAUGAUGAAGAUAGUUCACUGGACGGCAACUGACGCUGAAGUGCGAAAGCUGGGGGAGCGAACAGGAUUAGAUACCSUGGUAGUCCCAGCCGUAAACGAUGAUUACUGGGUGUGGGCAUGAAGAGUGUCCGUGCCGAAGCAAAUGCGAUAAGUAAUCCGCCUGGGGAGUACGGCCGCAAGGCUGAAACUCAAAGGAAUUGACGGGGACCCGCACAAGCGGUGGAGCAUGUGGUUUAAUUCGACGCAACGCGAGGAACCUUACCAGAUCUUGACAUCCC
rnacentral:rRNA from 1 species